CGGCUUGGAAGGCACUUCAGCGGUCUGCGGGGCGACGGGACUCCACUUCCGGGGCGUGGCCCCACCCGGGGAGCUCAGCUGUCUGAGGGUUGUUGGGAGGAGAGUUGAUUCCUCUGGAUGAGGGAAUGCGACUCUGAGUGGGGAGGACCUAGUCGUUCGGAGUAAGACUUCAGUUGGAACUUGCGGUCUCACCGCCUGCUAGGGAGGAAAAGCAGAUUUCAAGAGUGCUUCAGCGCCGCCGCCAGCCCUGGGCUGGGACUACAAGUCCCGGCCUGCGGGAACCCAGGAGCGGGGGCGGGGGAGGGCACUGGUGGGAAGAGAGGCAUGCUGGGAACUGUAGUAGUGUCACCUCCGCGUUCGUAGCAGCCAGCCACCUUGCAUGAGGACACUCAGACAGCCUUAUGGAAAGAUCCACAUGGCGAGGAACUGAGACCUUCUGCCAAUAGCCAGCACCAACCUGCCAGCCAUAUUGAGUGAGCCAUCUUAGAAGUGGAUUCUCUAGCCCCGGCCAAGCCUUCAGAUGACUGCAGCCAUGGCUGAUAUUUUGAAUACAGCCUCAUGAGAGACUCUGAGCCAGCACAACCCAGCUAAGCUGCUCCUGAAUUCCUUACCCACAGAAACUAUGUGAGGUAAUAAAUGUUUGUUGUUGUUUUAA